rnacentral:rRNA from 1 species
CCUUACCCACCUUUGACAUGGCAGGAAGUUACCAGAGAUGGUUUCGUGCUCGAAAGAGAACCUGCACACAGGUGCUGCAUGGCUGUCGUCAGCUCGUGUCGUGAGAUGUUGGGUUAAGUCCCGCAACGAGCGCAACCCUUGCCAUUAGUUGCUACGAAAGGGCACUCUAAUGGGACUGCCGGUGACAAACCGGAGGAAGGUGGGGAUGACGUCAAGUCCUCAUGGCCCUUAUAGGUGGGGCUACACACGUCAUACAAUGGCCGGUACAAAGGGUCGCAAACCCGCGAGGGGGAGCCAAUCCAUCAAAGCCGGUCGUAGUCCGGAUCGCAGUCUGCAACUCGACUGCGUGAAGUCGGAAUCGCUAGUAAUCGUGGAUCAGCAUGUCACGGUGAAUACGUUCCCGGGUCUUGUACACACCGCCCGUCACACCAUGGGAGCGGGUCUCGCCAGAAGUAGUUAGCCUAACCGCAAGGAGGGCGAUUACCACGGCGGGGUUCGUGACUGGGGUGA